rnacentral:rRNA from 1 species
GAUGAACGCUAGCUACAGGCUUAACACAUGCAAGUCGAGGGGAAACGAUAUUGAAAGCUUGCUUUCGAUAGGCGUCGACCGGCGCACGGGUGAGUAACGCGUAUCCAACCUGCCCAUAACUAAGGGAUAAUCCGUAGAAAUGCGGUCUAAUACCUUAUGUGUUCCGAGGAAGACAUCUGAUUUGGAUUAAAGAUUUAUCGGUUAUGGAUGGGGAUGCGUCUGAUUAGAUUGUUGGCGGGGCAACGGCCCACCAAGUCUGCGAUCAGUAGCCGGCCUGAGAGGGUGAACGGCCACAUUGGGACUGAGACACGGCCCAA